GGGCCCAUAACUCAGCUUGGUAGAGUACCCGGCUCAUAACCGGGGAGUCAAGGGAUCGAAGCCCUUUGGGCCCAUAU
rnacentral:tRNA from 1 species